UACGUAGGGGGCAAGCGUUGUCCGGAUUUAUUGGGCGUAAAGAGCGUGUAGGCGGUCAGGUAGGUCCGUUGUGAAAACCCAAGGCUCAACCUUGGGACGCCGAUGGAAACCAUCUGACUAGAGUCCGGAAGAGGAGAAUGGAAUUCCUGGUGUAGCGGUGAAAUGCGCAGAUAUCAGGAAGAACACCGGUGGCGAAGGCGGCCCACUGGUCCGGUACUGACGCUGAGGAGCGAAAGCGUGGGGAGCGAACAGG
rnacentral:rRNA from 1 species